rnacentral:misc_RNA from 1 species
AACGCAAAUUGCGCUCUCGGGAUAGGCCUGAGAGCACGCCUCUUUGAGCAUCGAUUCUAACAAACAUCGACUGCUUGUUUAUUUCAUUAUAAACAAGUGAGUUGGAAAAUGAGUGUUCUCGCUGAUUAUUCAAAAAAGGCGCGUCACUUUAAAUAAAGCGAGUUCCUUUUGACAGACUGAAUUAAACAAAGGAGAUUAUAUCUCAUGUUCAGUUUGAUUGUCGCGAUUGGCGAUGUGGAUAAUUUCACUUAAUCGGUGAACUUCCAAACAUGGUCGAUUGUAAACAAUUGAAUAGACUUGGGUUAACAAGUGGUUACCAUGACCGUUUGUGCUCUUUUUGUGUCAAGUUCUUUAAUUGUUGAAAGAGAACAGAAAGGGAAAAUUCAAUAUCUUGAAUUAGAUCUCAAAUGAAGCGAGAAAACCCGCCGAACUUAA